rnacentral:lncRNA from 1 species
GUAUAUUCUAGUGAAAGGAGACCAGGUGACUGGCAUAGUGACAGCUAAAUCUGGAGAUAUAUUCAGAGUUGAUGUUGGAGGGAGUGAGCCAGUUUCUUUGUCUUACUUGGCAUUUGAAGGUGCAACUAAAAGAAACAGACCAAAUGUGCAGGUUGGAGAUCUCAUCUAUGGCCAAUUUGUGGUUGCUAAUAAAGACAUGGAACCAGAGAUGGUCUGUAUUGACAGCUAUGGAUGAGCCAAUGGAAGGAAUGUCAUUGGACAGGAUGGUCUGCUUUUUAAAGUGACUGGGCUUCAUUAGAAAGCUGUUAGCUCCAGAUCAUGAAAUCAAACAGGAAGUGGGAAAACUCUAUCCACUGAAGAUAGUAUUUGGAAUGAAUGGAAGAGUAUGGGUUAAGGGAAAAACCGUCCAGCAGACUUUAAUUUUGGCAAAUGUUUUAGAAGCUUGUGAACACAUGACAUUAGAUCAAAGAAAACAAAUCUCCAGAUUGGCAGAAAGUUGA